rnacentral:tRNA from 1 species
GGCAGAAUGGCUCACUUGGAGAGUGCACAGCUUUGACCUGUGUGUGACCUAGGUUCAAGUCCAGGCCUUACCA